GGGCGUUAAGUUGCAGGGUAUAGACCCGAAACCCGGUGAUCUAGCCAUGGGCAGGUUGAAGGUUGGGUAACACUAACUGGAGGACCGAACCGACUAAUGUUGAAAAAUUAGCGGAUGACCUGUGGCUGGGGGUGAAAGGCCAAUCAAACCGGGAGAUAGCUGGUUCUCCCCGAAAGCUAUUUAGGUAGCGCCUCGUGAAUUCAUCUCCGGGGGUAGAGCACUGUUUCGGCUAGGGGGCCAUCCCGGCUUACCAACCCGAUGCAAACUGCGAAUACCGGAGAAUGUUAUCACGGGAGACACACGGCGGGUGCUAACGUCCGUCGUGAAGAGGGAAACAACCCAGACCGCCAGCUAAGGUCCCAAAGUCAUGGUUAAGUGGGAAACGAUGUGGGAAGGCCCAGACAGCCAGGAUGUUGGCUUAGAAGCAGCCAUCAUUUAAAGAAAGCGUAAUAGCUCACUGGUCGAGUCGGCCUGCGCGGAAGAUGUAACGGGGCUAAACCAUGCACCGAAGCUGCGGCAGCGAACGUAUCACC
rnacentral:rRNA from 1 species